GCUCAAACCCGUGUCCCCUGCAUUGGCAGGCGGAUUCUUAACCACUGCGCCACCAGGGAAGUCGCCAACUAAUUCUUUUCAAAAGAUGAGAAUGAGUGAGGAAGACCAGAGUGGAAGCUGUUCAUACUCUAGAUGAGAGUUGGAGAUGGACUGGGGGUGGGGUUGGGGGUGGAGAUGGAGCAAACGGGUUAGUAUGUAGGCAGGUCAAAUUGCUGAGAGCCUGGAACUGAGUGGGAGGGAAGAGAGAAGAAUCAAGCAUCGCUCUCAGAUUUCUGGCUUGAGCAACUGGGUGAAUGAUGGUGCCAGUUACUAACAUGGGGGAGAAGUCUGGGGGCGGCACAGGUUUGGAAGUAAAAUUAAGAAUGGGGAAACUGAGGCAUGGCGAGGAGAUGGUGAAAAUGGGAUUCACACUUAGCUCUGCCUGUCUCAGAAGUCGAGCCUAAGAGCUGCCUCCCAAGGACAGGGAGCUCCUGGCUUUGGAUGGGUUCAGCCAUUUAGGGCUCUCCUGUGCACUGUAGGAUGUUUAGCUGCAUCCCUGGUCUACCCACUGGAUUCCUAUAGCAACUGUGACAAACAAAAAUGCUUCCAGAACUGGCACUGGGUUGUUCAAUGACUCAACUUACUUUUCUAUUAAUAAGCCUAAAAAUAAACUGCUGACUUGGAAAAUUAUUUUCAAAGACAUUUGAAAAUGAGGGUGGAGAAUAUCUAUGUGUUAAAAGUAAAAUUCAUUUAACCUCACA